rnacentral:rRNA from 1 species
UACAGAGGUCCCAAGCGUUGUUCGGAGUUACUGGGCGUAAAGGGUGUGUAGGCGGUUGUUUAAGUUUGGUGUGAAAUCUCCCGGCUCAACCGGGAGGGUGCGCCGAAUACUGAAUAACUAGAGUGCGGGAGAGGAAAGUGGAAUUCCUGGUGUAGCGGUGAAAUGCGUAGAUAUCAGGAGGAACACCGGUGGUGUAGACGGCUUUCUGGACCGUAACUGACGCUGAGACACGAAAGCGUGGGUAGCAAACAGG